rnacentral:rRNA from 1 species
UACGUAGGCAGCAAGCGUUGUUCGGAGUUACUGGGCGUAAAGGGCGCGUAGGCGGUUCGUACAGUCAGACGUGAAAUUCCUGGGCUCAACCUGGGGGCUGCGUUUGAUACGUGCGGGCUUGAGUUCGGAAGAGGGUCGUGGAAUUCCCAGUGUAGAGGUGAAAUUCGUAGAUAUUGGGAAGAACACCGGUGGCGAAGGCGGCGACCUGGUCCGAUACUGACGCUGAGGCGCGAAAGCGUGGGGAGCAAACAGG